rnacentral:lncRNA from 1 species
UAAAUUUACUUAGGUGGUUGAUGUAUCUGCAUAAAAAUAUUUUUUUUAGAAUAAAAUAGCACGCUACCUGCUUUAUUUAUUAAAAGUAUAAAUUAAACAACAUAGGUAAUGUUAAAAAAAUCCUCAGCAGAAACAAGCGAAAAAAAAAAAAGAAACUUAAAAAAGUUGGCUUUUAAACGAGAGAAUAACUUUCCACUAAGUUGCCAAUCUCUUGAUCUUAGUUAGAAAGUCUGCGUAAGCAUUUCUAAAAAUAGUAAUAUUUCUUGAAUCUCAGAUGACCCACCAGCAGGCUAUCAGAUGGGUCAAUCUUGUUCGAAUAGGCUGCGAUAUGUUCCAUGGCAUCCACCUAUCCCACAUGCAUCUCAUAUCGUCCUCCAAAUUUCUAGACUAAACCCCCUCUAGGGUCAUCGGAAUCAGGAAUUUUCUAACAACACGUUGUGUGAAUAGAUGAUCCAUCAUCUCCUCUUCGAAUCCACAUAGCACACAUUUUGUGUUCCACGUCCACCCUUUCUUCAAAAGGUUGUUCGUUGUAGGUUUUCUUUUCUCAAGGACAAGCCAGAUAAAUACUUGCACUUUCUGGGAUAUUUCGAGUCUUCAAAUCUUGCUCGCGCGAGCGUCCCUUAUACCCCUAGUAUCUAUCGUUCAGGGCCGAAUAGAUUUAUUUCACGAUAAAUUUUUAUCCGCAUAAAAUAUUUAAAAUC